CCGAUAUUGGAACAUACCAUUUAGCAAAGGUUUGCCUUCUUACCUGGUUCUCGUCUGCUCUGAAAUAGAAUUUACAACAUUCAGCUUCUGCAUAGGGCCAGAUGUUGGAUGCUAAUUCUGCUGAAGAUUCAUUGGCUGAGAGCAUAAGCUGACUGCUCUCAGCCAAUGAUUUCAUUUAUGUACAUAGAAAAUUGCACAGAAUUGACAUUAGCCAGGCUGGAACUCUAGUUCUAGGCUGGCUAAUGACAGUCCAAUGAACUUGCCGGACGUGUAGUUACACUGGAAACAGACAGGUUAAAUUCCAUAUGUACAGCAUUUCAUAGUAAAACGCUGUACAUUCAGACUCCAGGCACCAUGAGCACUUCAACUUGAAUCAGUCAUGGUUCCUGGAGUAAUCUGUCAUGCUGUGCUAGCCUUUUACCUCUGAAGCUGUAUUCUUAAA